rnacentral:rRNA from 1 species
UACGUAGGUGGCAAGCGUUGUCCGGAAUUACUGGGCGUAAAGAGCGCGCAGGCGGCUGGUCAAGUCCGAUGUGAAAGCUUCCGGCUUAAACUGGGAAAUUGCAUCGGAAACUGAUCGGCUUGAAGGUGGGAGAGGGUAGUGGAAUUCCCGGUGUAGUGGUGAAAUGCGUAGAUAUCGGGAGGAACACCAGUGGCGAAGGCGACUACCUGGCCCACUCUUGACGCUGAGGCGCGAAAGCUAGGGGAGCGAACGGGG